CCAGGAACUUUUCAGUGGGGGGUACAGGAUUCGAACCUGUGAAGGCAAUGCCAACAGAUUUACAGU
rnacentral:tRNA from 1 species